AGAGUUUGAUUCUGGCUCAGGAUGAACGCUGGCGGCGUGCUUAACACAUGCAAGUCGAACGAAGCACUUUAUUUGAUUUCCUUCGGGACUGAUUAUUUUGUGACUGAGUGGCGGACGGGUGAGUAACGCGUGGGUAACCUGCCUUGUACAGGGGGAUAACAGUUGGAAACGGCUGCUAAUACCGCAUAAGCGCACGGCAUCGCAUGAUGCAGUGUGAAAAACUCCGGUGGUAUAAGAUGGACCCGCGUUGGAUUAGCUAGUUGGUGAGGUAACGGCCCACCAAGGCGACGAUCCAUAGCCGACCUGAGAGGGUGACCGGCCACAUUGGGACUGAGACACGGCCCCAACUCCUACGGGAGGCAGCAGUGGGGAAUAUUGCACAAUGGGCGAAAGCCUGAUGCAGCGACGCCGCGUGAGCGAAGAAGUAUUUCGGUAUGUAAAGCUCUAUCAGCAGGGAAGAUAAUGACGGUACCUGACUAAGAAGCACCGGCUAAAUACGUGCCAGCAGCCGCGGUAAUACGUAUGGUGCAAGCGUUAUCCGGAUUUACUGGGUGUAAAGGGAGCGCAGGCGGUGCGGCAAGUCUGAUGUGAAAGCCCGGGGCUCAACCCCGGUACUGCAUUGGAAACUGUCGUACUAGAGUGUCGGAGGGGUAAGCGGAAUUCCUAGUGUAGCGGUGAAAUGCGUAGAUAUUAGGAGGAACACCAGUGGCGAAGGCGGCUUACUGGACGAUAACUGACGCUGAGGCUCGAAAGCGUGGGGAGCAAACAAGAUUAGAUACCCUGGUAGUCCACGCCGUC
rnacentral:rRNA from 1 species